GGUGGGGGCAGCGGCCCGUGAUUCACACGUGGACCUAGAGUGUAGACACGCCUCCGAGCCUUGGGAGGGUGGAGGAGCUGGUUGAGGGGUGGGAAUGGGCAGGCGUGAGGAGUGGGAACCUGGGGGCUGCUGCCUUCUCCAUAGCGGCCUGGAUUGGGGCGUGAGCUGGACUCGCAUUUGGAGGAGGGGGGUGAGCUGGACUCGCAUUUGGAGGAAGAGUGAGGAUGCGCCCCUGGGCUUGGGUGGGGGAGGGCUGAAGGAGCCCAGGGAGUGGGGUGAGAGGUGGUCAUGUGGGGGUGUCUGCUGCCCUGGCUGGGGCGGUAAGCAAGCACAGAGGGAGGUGGGGAAGGCAAACUGCCAGCUACUUGCAUGUCCAGGCAGAAUGGAGACUCUUUUGUCUCCCCUCUCCGCCCUCCUCCCUCCCCACGAAGGCCCAGGAUUUGGGGAGCAUGGUGGAGGCACUGGAAGGAUGUGAGGUAAUACCUGGGGGCAGCAGUCCUGGUGGAGAGGGACAAUGCUGGCUCUCUGGAAGGAAGGGAGGCAUGUUUGUAGCCAAACAGGUUGUGGACGCCUGAGCUUUUUUUUGCCAGCACUCCCAAUCUUAAGCAAGGGUAUGGAUGCUCUCUAGAAAGCCCCCCUGCCAGGCUUGCUUCCCCUUACCCCCUUUCUUCUCAUUCCCCUGAAGGAUUCUGCCUCCCACGCAAGAGAAAUCAAUUAAAUGGAAAAAGAAGAUGUGCAAGAUUUUUGAUAAGUAUCGCCCUUGGAUGGAGAAGAGGAAUGAAUGACUCCCUCCCACCCCACACCACCCCACAGCUCUGAAAUGACUUCUCUUUCUUAGGCAGCUGCACACUGUUACCAUUCCAGGAUUGUAUGGCAGAAGACUAUUGCGCUCUUGUGUCUCUCCUCGCAGGCAGCACCAGCCCCUGGCUAAUAAAAGAAUUGGAGAGUCUUUUCUCUACAAUAUUUGGCAGAGUCUUGGUGGGAUUCGGUGACGUCUUCCCCAGUGGACCAGGAGGAGCUGAAAAACCAGAGUUAGGCACUGACAAGCUCCUGCUGUCUCGGACCCCUUGGGACCUGUCCAGACGAAGGAGCUGUGAUGUAUGGCCUGCCCAUGGAGAGACUUAUGUGACAAAGACCUGAGGGAGGGUCCUGAUCAACAGACAGAGAGGGAGUGAGGCCCUCCAGACCAACAGCUCACAGAGUCCUGCUCAUAACAUGGAAGUGAGUAGGGAGCAGAUCCUCCCCAGUCAAGACUCAGUUGAGACCACAACCACAGGGUCCUGAGAACUUGGGGCAGUCACCAGAUUGUGACCUCCUGGGGACAGGGACGUCGUGGAUCCUUUUCAGAACCAGCCCCUGGAUCACCUGCUGAUGUUGAUCCUGCCCCUGUGCUAACGCUGGAGCUCCAUAGUGCACCAACUAUUCCGUCACCAAUAUCAGAUGGACAGACAGCUGGAGGGAGUGAAAACAAUAACAAGAGGAAAACAUUGGAAUUCUUCACUUUUAACUGGAUCUGACAAAUUACCAGAGGAUACAAGGUAAAAGUAACUUUUAAAACACGUGCAUUUUUGACAAAUACUAAGUCAUAAAUGGACUGACCGCUUGCUUGUUGGCUGCUGUAGGAAGUGUUAUCUUUUUAAUGUGUGAAUGUUUUCAGUCAUAAACCUAUUAAAGUUUGCUUAGUUUAUUAGGAGUAAAUCUUACAAUAAUCUGUAUUUUUGCUCCUAAGGUUAAUAAAUACAAUGUCUUAUUAAAAAUAAUAUUUCAUGACUAUUACAGGCUGUGUUUUCACUGCUUAACUACCUCACAACUCUCCAGACACUAAGUAGCACCUAAUUAAAAUUCUGUUGACAAUAAAUUAUUUGCAUAUUUAAUUUUUCAUGGGGCUGGUAAAUAUUUUAUUUUCAACAUUAAUAUAUUCUUGA